GUGAGGAAUAUUGGUCAAUGGACGAGAGUCUGAACCAGCCAAGUAGCGUGAAGGAUGAAGGUCCUACGGAUUGUAAACUUCUUUUAUAAGGGAAUAAACCCUCCCACGUGUGGGAGCUUGUAUGUACCUUAUGAAUAAGCAUCGGCUAACUCCGUGCCAGCAGCCGCGGUAAUACGGAGGAUGCGAGCGUUAUCCGGAUUUAUUGGGUUUAAAGGGAGCGCAGACGGGUCGUUAAGUCAGCUGUGAAAGUUUGGGGCUCAACCUUAAAAUUGCAGUUGAUACUGGCGUCCUUGAGUGCGGUUGAGGUGUGCGGAAUUCGUGGUGUAGCGGUGAAAUGCUUAGAUAUCACGAAGAACUCCGAUUGCGAAGGCAGCACACUAAUCCGUAACUGACGUUCAUGCUCGAAAGUGUGGGUAUCAAACAGGAUUAGAUACCCGGGUAGUCC
rnacentral:rRNA from 1 species